rnacentral:rRNA from 1 species
UGGGGAAUAUUGGACAAUGGGCGAAAGCCUGAUCCAGCCAUGCCGCGUGUGUGAAGAAGGUCUUCGGAUUGUAAAGCACUUUAAGUUGGGAGGAAGUGCAGUAAGCGAAUACCUUGCUGUUUUGACGUUACCGACAGAAUAAGCACCGGCUAACUCUGUGCCAGCAGCCGCGGUAAUACAGAGGGUGCAAGCGUUAAUCGGAAUUACUGGGCGUAAAGCGCGCGUAGGUGGUUCGUUAAGUUGAAUGUGAAAGCCCCGGGCUCAACCUGGGAACUGCAUCCAAAACUGGCGAGCUAGAGUAGGGCAGAGGGUGGUGGAAUUUCAAGUGUAGCGGUGAAAUGCGUAGAUAUAGGAAGGAACAACAGUGGAGAAGGCGACCAACUGGGCUCAUACUGAAACUGAAGUGCGAAAGCGUGGGGAGCUAACAGG